rnacentral:lncRNA from 1 species
AGGUACUCCGACCACGCAUACGCAGCAGGCGGGACCCUCUCAGGGUCAAGCAGCGUGGGACUACUUGUGAGUGGAUUUUGUUUUCAAAUCUUAUGCAUGGUUUUAUUAAUGAAAGAUUUAUGCAUAAUGUUUUAACGAUUUAUUGAAUAUAUUAUAUUCAUGGGUUGAAUUUGAUGUCUAUAUAGCGCUUUGGCAUAGUUGGGUAUUGAAAGUAUAUUUUAUAUGGAUUUUGGGAAAUUUAUGCAUGACGUUUUAAAUGGUAUUUUUGGAUAUAUUAUUUAUUCAAUUGUUGAAAGGGAUAUUUUUAUGAAGCAUUGAAAAUAUAUUUUUGGGUUUUAACAUAUUGGAGUAUCUUGAGUAUGAAUAUAUGGAUUUGAGGAUUUCUAUAUAUAUUUGGUUAUGUGCGAGGUACUUGGGUUGUUGAGAUGAGAUUGUGGAAAGUGGUGAGUGUAGAAUGUCAGUGUGGUGUGCUAUAAGCACUACCCUAUGUACCUCCCUGGUUUGGAACUUGGAUACGGAUACUUGAGAUACUUGGAAGAAUCGGAACCCGGGGCAUCCUUGACGGGAUGUUGCUGUAGACCCUUGAUUGGGUAGUCUGCGCGCGUAGGACUGAUCACAGACGUACGGGUUUUGAGGUUAUCGACGGUCCGUGCUGGCUGAGAGUUGGUCCCCCAGUUGGACGGCUCGUUCCCUAGUCACAUGGUGGAUUGAGGACUCAUCAUGAGGACUCUGCCAGGGUGACUAGUCAAACAAUCCCCCGGUUGGAUUGUUUCCCCGGUACAACUAGGUGAUGGUCAUAUUUAUAUUAUAUAUAUCUCUUAUAUUAUAUAUAUAUAUAUAUAUAAUCCAUUCAUUUAUGUUUUUCGGUGAGGAUACUUCUUUGCCGGUCGUGCCAAUGGGUACGCUUUCGAGAGUUUGGUUGUGGGACUUAUAAGUUUUGGAUGGUGGGUUUUAUAAAGUGUUCUUUUUGGAUUUUGGACUUGGCAUCCGGUAUUGAUUUGUUUUUAUAUAUUAUAUAUAUAUAUAUAUAUACUGGAGUAUGAAGGUUUUAAGAUGCAUGGAAUUUCUUGCAUGGUUUUCUAAACGGUGGGGUUAUAUUACGUUGGUUUACACUGAACUGAAUUGAUUUUUGUCCACUCACAAUUUUCUGUUUUGCGCCCCCAGCCAGUAGUUGACUGAGCUCCGCAGCAGAGCCGGAUCGUGCGCUUCCGAGCCUUGAGCCUUCGUAGGACUCUUUCUUCAUGUUAUUUCCUUUGAACUCUGUUUUGUUGAAAUUGAAGUUCUUAGACAUGCUCUGUUAUCGCCCUGUUAGGGUUUGAUUUGUGAGGCCUGAGGCCAUUUCAUUGUAAAUUGUUUGUUCGUUUUAAAGCAUGCUGCUGGUUGGGUUUGUUUUGUAUUUUGUUGCAGGUUGAAAUCUGUUGGGUUUCUUAAAUUUAUAGGGGGGACUCUGCCAAAAUUUUGGUAAAGAGUCUCGGUUUCUAGUAAGUGGGCCCGGCAUCGGGUGAUGUCGGAACAAAGACGGGGUCCGCUCCGGUCUACGGGGAAAUUCCGGGGCGGGUCCUGUCA